UUCACUGUGGUCUUGGAUUCUGCAAUGUGCUGGCAGCUUACAUUCAUCAACUUUAAAGGCUGCACUGUCAAAGGUACUUGAGUCAUUGGUGUGUAGGAGUAAUAUCCCUGCAUUGUAGCCCAUCUGUUCUGAUGUCAAUGACCAGGCUGUUGUGUACCAUCAAAACUUUGCUGCUGUAUGGAUGUG